UCCUACUACUCUCAAACCUGCAAAUCGUUCCUUUUUUUUAUGCACUGCAUCGUUCCUCUACUCACAGUUUCUUUGUUCCAAUUCUCCUCAUCUCUCCAUUAUUCCUCUACUCUCACAACUCCAUCUCGUCAAUCCUCAUCCUUAUCAAGGUCCUUCGUCGAACCCUAGAUCCUUACACCCUCGUUCUCCGUCGAAUCCUAAAUCUUGGAUUUUCAGUAUACCUGGAACGAAAAUUCUCAGCGAACAACCCUUAUAUCUCCACAUCUUUUAAUUUGACUAGUAUUUUACAAAAAAUUGUAGGCCCAGUCAUGAACUCCAUAGAUUAUUUUAAUGUUGGCGUAGUCGACAACCUGCUAAGAAGGAAACAAUUGAAAACACUCCCUAAGCUUGAUUCCAUCGUAGGUAGGGGAACGUCUUUCAAUUUGAAGCUUGAACAUGAACAAGAGUUGUGUACAUUGCAAGAAGAUGUUUCCACACAAAGAGGUUGCUCGCGCCCUCGUGGACGACAUCAAAAUUUUUUUGAAAAGAAUUACAAGCUUGUCUUAUAGCUUUCAAAGAAUUGGCUUGAUCUGGUGAAGGUCAAAUGACAUUUGGUGAAAUUCUUUAUGAUAUCCACUAUUUGAUAAAGCUUUCUAUAUCUAAUUUUAUUGGUUUUUAGGUUUCAAGUGAAGAAAGUUGACACUGCUUAUAUAAAACACCUCGCUGACAGGCUUCCUGAGGUUGGACUCCGUUUACUCCUCUUUCCUCUUAGUUCGGAUGUAAUUCUAACCGCAUGGUACCAUUCAAAGUAUUAAUGUUUUUUUUAUGGUUUAAAUUGUUUUAAACCGUAGACGCUUCUUAACAAAGUUUUAGGAUGUUUUCUCUCCCGACCCCCCACAUUUCUUUUCUACCUCCUGAAUUUCCGUUUUUGCCUUUGGGAGGUACUUCGGUUUGUACGAACCGAUUUUUUUUGUCAUGCUAACAAAUUUCAGUUAAUAAAAACCGAAAUUUUGUGUUCCAAAUUUUGCGUUUCGUCUGCGUUCCAGAUUUCCUGCAUAAAUUCAGCAUCAGACCCUCAACUUCCACAAUUUAUUUGAAAUACUAAACGAUGUCCGAUUUGAGUAAACGAGCACUCGUUGGAAAGCUUAUGGUGUCAAGAUUACAAAUAUAAUUUUUGUUGAGGUUUAACUAUCCAAUUGGUCAAGUUUAACCAAAUAAUGGGUACUGGUACAGAAAUAGAGCAAAAACUUUUUUCAAACUUGUAGGUGGAUUUUCUCAUACUAUACUUAAUGAAAUUUAACAAUUCCGGUGUCAAUCAUUUAGUAAAUUUUGUCUUCUUUACACUAGAUUAAAAAUCAUUAGCAUACGACUUAUAUUCAGAGAGAUAUGUUAAAUUUACCACAGGUAGCUCUGCACGAAUUUUACAUAAAUCUUUCUUCUUUUCUUAACACUUAUGAUAUUUUGGUUUAUAUAAACCAUUUUUUUCCAUGCUAAAUUUCGGUUUGUAAAAACCGAAAUAAGUUGGCCAAAAUUUUUCAAAAUAGGAGGGGCAAAAUGGAAUUUUAUGGGGUAUAAAAAAAAAACUGAGGGUUGGGAGACGUCAAGUUUUAGUAGUUUGGUUUAGGGAUGUCAAAUGGCAAUUUUGAAAUAUAGUGUAUAUCAAUUUAAAUUUUGAUCAUUUGACACAUUUCUUUGUUUUAUAUUUCAAAAUUUAUAUUUUGAUCAUUUGACAUAUUUCUUUUAAGGCGACGUUCUGUUUUUUCUUUUUUUUCAUGUUGUGAGUUUUUAUUUUUUAUGGUAGUUCAAUGGCAAUUUUUUAGAGGUAUGUCAACUUUGUUUUACAUUUUGUGCUUUGGCAGAUUAUGAGCCAAUGAUUGUAACCCCUAGGGAGUCAUUGAAUUUAAAUUCAUUCUUCUAUCCUUCUAAUUGACUAGGUAUCUCUUUCUCUCUUUCACUUGAUUAGUUCCCUUCUUAACAAGAUCUGGUUUUUAAAAAAAUUAAACAUUUUAUUUGUAGUUUUUUCUAUACAUUUACACAUUCCGCUAUAUACCGUGAAUUGAAUAACUUUCAGGUAAAGAAGCUCUAACACCCAAAAGGAAGAUUAAAUCAAAUAGUAUAUAAAGAUCUAAAGGGAAAGUGACAUAGUUAAAUUGGAAGAGAUGAUCUACGUUGCACUCAUGUUUAGACAUUUUAGGUGACCAUUAAUUUUCUGUGGAAUUGAAUUUGCCACUAAACAUUAGUAGUAAGGCACCACAUGAAAUUAUGAAUCUUGUGACAUAAGUAUUAGGGUUUUUUUCUUGUACUAAAGAUCAGUUAUUUUGAAACCAGUGGUGUCAUACAUACAUACUUAUUAAGCAAAAAGGAUUGAUUAAGAUUGUCAUUUUCAUACCUCUAGUUAUAUUUAAGUUGUAUUUUGUUGGAUUAUUUUAUAACCGAUACUUAGUUAUGUUGUAUUGCACGUCACUUAUUUCUAAUGUAUUGUUUGAUUUUAUGAUUAAUAAAAAAUUGUUUACUUUUUUUUUA